rnacentral:rRNA from 1 species
UACGUAGGGUGCGAGCGUUAAUCGGAAUUACUGGGCGUAAAGCGUGCGCAGGCGGUUCGCUGUGUCCGGUGUGAAAGCCCCGGGCUUAACCUGGGAAUGGCAUGGGAAACUGGCGAGCUUGAGUGCGGCAGAGGGGGGUGGAAUUCCGCGUGUAGCAGUGAAAUGCGUAGAGAUGCGGAGGAACACCGAUGGCGAAGGCAGCCCCCUGGGUCGAAACUGACGCUCAGGCACGAAAGCGUGGGGAGCAAACAGG